rnacentral:tRNA from 1 species
GGAGGUUUAGCUCAGCGGAAGAGCAUCUGCCUGGUGAGCACAAGGCCCUGAGUUCGGUCCUCAGCUCUU